rnacentral:misc_RNA from 1 species
AACAGAAGGCCAAGGAGUUUCCUUAAACAUACGCUCACUCAGUGUCUGAAAAGAGGUCUCAUACAUCUGGUGAAUCUCGUAAACAUUCUUCUCUCUUAUGUGCCUAUACAGAUGAACCACGAACGAUUUUACGGAAUCUGGCACGAAAUUCGGGUCGUACCCGACUGCAUCUGUUUCUUGUGGGUAACCUCCUUCUUCGUACUCGUAGGGAGCUGCCAUUGUUGAGCUUAAACGCUGAAAAUCAAAAAUCAAAAAUCGCAAAUCGACGGUUUAGGUUUAGGGCGAAACUGAUUAACA